rnacentral:rRNA from 1 species
ACAGCGGUUGGACAAUCCCGAGGGAAGUUAUUUGCUCAAAUUUUUGGAUUUAGUUAAAAACGAAGUGCCACCUUGGAGUGGUGGCACAAAUUCAGUCUCUUUCGAGGCUGGUCAUGUGGUGUGAGUGACGUGGAUGAUCGAGAGUUCGGGAUAACGAUCGUCUGAUGGAUCUUCGAACUCGACCUUCGAAUACCGAGAAGCGAGAUUGGCUUUCAGAAAUAUCGAGAACUCAUGAAGCCGAGCCGCCUCUUCGUUUGACUCGGCGCGUAGUUUGAUGCCCCUGUUGCGUCCAUCAUCGACUGCAGUACCGAUCAACAUGUCCGCUCCUAGUUGAGGUCCCACUGAGUGGUUUAGCACAGAACAUAUCUUAUGUCAAGUCCGAAAAUUUGAGCAAAUAAUCCCGUAGAGACUAUACGCCAAGGCCGCUGCGAGGCAGUGGAAGCACUAAAUUCGAAACUCUAAAUUCUAAACUUUAGGAUUUAGAAAUUAGGAUUUAGGAUUUCCGCUGUGAAACAGCGGUAUGAUAUAGUCCGAACUGCAUAGCGAUAUACAGAGAUAGGCAGAAAUGUCCUAUCCCGUAAUGAAGUUUGGAAUUUUAAUCAUUCGAAUUUGUUUUAGAAAUUAGAAAUUCGGAUUUAGAAAUUCCAAUUUUGUUACGCAGUAACAAAAUUGUAGAUACCCUUGUAGUCCACGCCCUAAACGUUGCCGACUAGCUAUCUUGAGUAUCGACCCUCGGGGUGGCGAAGCUAACGCGUUAAGUCGGCCGCCUGGGAAGUACGGCCGCAAGGCUAAAACUCAAAGGAAUAGACGGGGACUCGCACAAGCGGUGGAGCAUGAGGUUUAAUUCGAUAGUAAACGAAGAACCUUACCAGGGCUUGAAAUCCCGAUGAAGUUUUUCCGAAAGGAGGAACGUCUUUUACAAGACAUCGGGACAGGUGUUGCAUGGUUGCCGUCAGCUCGUAUCGUGAGACGUUCCCUUAGGUGGGGUAACGAGCGCAACCCCUAUCCGAUGUUAUAUAUGUCAUCGGAAACCGCCCAGCCCUAGUUUUACUGCCGACGUUAUUAUAGUUGCUAACGUAUGGCGGUGUAGUAAGCACAUUUUCUUUGUUGAGAAUGUUGUUUGUAAAACUAGGGCUGGGAGGAAGGCGGGGAUGACGUCAAAUCCGCAUGACCCUCUGAUGUCCUGGGCUACACUCAUGCUACAAUGGCCGGUACAAUGGGUUGCGAAGUCGCAAGACGGAGCUAAUCCCAUCAAAACCGGUCCCAGUUCGGAUUGGGGUCUGCAAUUCGACCCCAUGAAGUUGGAAUCGCUAGUAAUCGCGGAUCAGCUAUGCCGCGGUGAAUACGUUCUCGAGUCCUGUACUCACUGCCCGUCAAAUCAAGGGAGCCGGGAAUAGGUGAAGCCCCGCCCAAAGCCCGUAGGGCUUUGGGAAAUUAGAAAUUCAAAUAUCGA